rnacentral:lncRNA from 1 species
AGGGCGCAGGCGGUGCGGUCUGGAGGGUGGAGAACGCAAGAGUGAAGGCUCCACGGCUUCUGAGCCCUUAGGAGGGCGCGAGGAAGACACAUUGUGCAGCUCACAGAUGCCAAAACAGGCUCAGAAGAGAAAUUAGUAGCUCGAGGCCAUGGGCGGGAGAGGCAGGAGCCAGGGCAGGGACGGGUGCUUUCUGCAGCUCCGAAGGCCUCUCCCAAGUGUCCGAAUCGCGGAGGCUCGUUGGCUCUCAGCAUCGCUGCAUCCAUCGCUGUACCCUCCGCCAUCUCCGUGGAUCCGAUUCUGGUUUUGCUCGGGCUUCUCUGCCUUCCUCCGUCUCUUGAUCACCGUUCCUGCCUGUCUCCGCCCUGUCUGGUCUCUCGCUCUCUCUUUCCCGGAGCUGCCGAGCUGGGGGUGAAAUCCGAGGUUCCCCACCUCCACAGGCACCACGGGCCUCCCUCCAUCCGCGGGGCAGGGCGGACCUCCCUCCCGCGUUCCGCAUCCUCCUGCAGGAGAGGAAUUUGCAAGACCAGAGGAAUGCCCCAGACUCCCUGAUGCUUCGGCCCGAGUACUUGGGGCGCCCCGAACCCACUGCAGAGCCGAGCCCCUCGCUGUGGCCCGGCCAGAAGCCUCGGCGAGGGCUGAACCCACAGUUUCUGAGCUGGAGAACAGCGUGCCCAUUUUAAAGCCAACAAACCGAGGCUCAGAAAAAAAUGGCUUUCCGCCUUCAGCUGGUGACACAGCUUGAAGCCGGGUCUGUUUUCUUCUCUGAGAGAUCUGAGGUCCUUGACAUUUGAUAAAUUCAUGGAAAUACUGGACAGUUUUCAAGGCUCUCAAGAAGGUGGGCAGGAGGAGGGGAGGAGUGUAGUUAAGUGCUGGACCGCAAACCCAUUUCGUGGAUUGGGGGCGGGGUUAGGAGGCGGUUCCACCGAAUACCGCCAGCAUCCGAUGUAUUUUAACGCAUCUCGUCUUUUGAAAGCGCGAUGAGACCGC